rnacentral:lncRNA from 1 species
GGUGGUGUGAUUACAAUGCUGACAUCCUAAGAAGCAGCAAAUGUUACUGUGAGUGGGAACCUGAAAAGAUGGCUCACCUGGCUGGGACAAGCUUAGCUAAGGCAGCAUUUAAUAGGCAAGCUGUGCACCUCCUCAGUCCAGUCUGGACACCCAAAUCUUGACUGCAGUUGUCCGUUGAGGGCUACCUUAUUCAAGAACUGAAGAGGGUUCUUUAACUUUAUGAAGCCAGCACAAAGAACCAGA